rfam:Erinaceus europaeus unplaced genomic scaffold scaffold00385, whole genome shotgun sequence
AUGGCUCUGACUGAAGACCAGUAGCUCUCCUAUAGCUGCUGGUUUCAUACAGAUGCCUCAGAGGAUCGUCUUCCUGUGAGAUCUGGUGGCUGUUCUGGACCUCAGCAGAGAAUGGCUAUCUCAUUUGGAAGAGCCAGCC